GACGAACGCUGGCGGCGUGCUUAACACAUGCAAGUCGAACGGAAAGGCCUGCUUUCCCUUGUGGAUUGCGGGUACUCGAGUGGCGAACGGGUGAGUAACACGUGAGUGAUCUGCCCCCAACUUGGGUAUAAGCCUGGGAAACUGGGUCUAAUUCCCGAUAGGACUGCAGGGUGGUGCCUGUGGUGGAAAACGAUUUUCUAGUGGUUGGGGAUGAGCUCGCGGCCUAUCAGCUUGUUGGUGGGGUAAUGGCCUACCAAGGCGGCGACGGGUAGCCAGCCUGAGAGGGUGGACGGCCACAUUGGGACUGAGAUACGGCCCAGACUCCUACGGGAGGCAGCAGUGGGGAAUAUUACACAAUGGGCGGAAGCCUGAUGCAGCGACGCCGCGUGGGGGAUGACGGCCUUCGGGUUGUAAACUCCUUUCGACCGCGAGGAAGCCACCUGGUUGGAAGGGUGGUGACGGUAGUGGUAGAAGAAGCACCGGCUAACUACGUG
rnacentral:rRNA from 1 species